rnacentral:rRNA from 1 species
UACAUGUGGGGCAAGCGUUGUUCGGAAUUACUGGGCAUAAAGGGUGCGUAGGCGGCUUGCUAAGUCAGUGGUGAAAUCGUCCGGCCCAACCGGACACGUGCCAAUGAUACUGGUGAGCUUGAGUGCGUGAGGGGUAGGGGGAACGAGCAGUGUAGCGGUGAAAUGCGUAGAUAUUGCUCGGAAGGCCAAAGCCGAAGGGACCCUACUGGUGCGCAACUGACGCUGAGGCACGAAAGCGUGGGGAGCAAACAGG